UUAAGUACAAUUUCUUGGUACUCUUUCCACCACUGCCAACUACAGUCAAAAAUAUUAUCAAAGUCUUCACAGGAGAGAGUCAUAAUAAUAUACUAAUGUUGGUUUUGUAGAAUUAUUAAUUCAACUUUAUGAUCUGAUACAAUUCAUAACAGUUUAGCUAUUAGAAGAUCAAAUGUUUUAAAAAAUAUUUUUUCAGUAACUGUAUUUUGUGUCUGUUAAUGAGCGACUGUCUUCAGGUAAAUGAUCUGGAGUGUGUUUGCAUAUUGAUCAGAUGCUUCAGUGCUCUGAGAGUGUUUAUAGUGCUGUGAGUUUAACACUUCAUCACUGACACACACAACAAUCUUCAUCAACAUGACCUUCAUCAUCAUCUUCAUCUGGACUCUCACAGCGUUUGCUCAAGAGUGUAGAGGACAGAUCACCGUCACUCAGAGUCCCUCAACGACAGCAGCUCGACCAGAAGAAACAGUCAAAAUCAGCUGUAAAACCAGCACAGAUGUGUAUUACCACAGUAAUUUGGGACAUUUUUUAGCUUGGUACCUACAGAAACCUGGAGAAGCUCCUAAACUCCUGAUUUAUUUGGCAAGCAGUUUUGAGUCAGGAACUCCAUCUAGAUUCAGUGGCAGUGGAUCUAACAGUGAUUUCACUCUGACCAUCAGUGGAGUCCAGACUGAAGAUGCUGGACAUUAUUACUGUCAGAGUUUUCAUUGCAGAACAGAUUCUGAUGGUGAUUGUGAGGGUGAUGAGGUGUUCACACAGUGAUAAAGAGUCGUACAAAAACCUCCGUCAGUCAGAGUCACAGAGACUGAACUGAUCCUGCAGCUGCUCAAACACUAUCACUCACUCAACAGUGAAGAAACACAGUAUGAAAAAGUAUAAAAAUCAAUUUUACUGAGCUUCAUAAUUAUUUAUUUUUGAUUAUGAUUUUUCUGAAAUCAUUUUAAUCUCCUUUUAUUUUCAGUCCUUCAUGUAGAAAUUCAGUCACUUUUGAGCUUCACUUCUGUGUAUACUUUCUAUUCUUCACUACAUA